CUGCCUGUACCUCAGUAGGAUAGAGGGUCCGCCUCCUAAGCGGAACGCCGUUGGUUCGAUUCCAAUCAGGCAGG
rnacentral:tRNA from 1 species